GACGAACCGUACAAACGUUAUUCGGAAUCACUGGGCUUAAAGGGUGCGUAGGCGGCGCGGGAAGUAGGGUGUGAAAUCCCUCGGCUCAACCGAGGAAUUGCGCCCUAAACUACCGUGCUCGAGGGAGAUAGAGGUGAGCGGAACUUAGGGUGGAGCGGUGAAAUGCGUUGAUAUCCUAAGGAACACCGGUGGCGAAAGCGGCUCACUGGAUCUCUUCUGACGCUGAGGCACGAAAGCUAGGGUAGCGAACGGG
rnacentral:rRNA from 1 species